rnacentral:lncRNA from 1 species
GGGCAAGGGGGUUGGGAUGGAGAUUCUGCCUGUCAUGCUCACUCCAGUCUCACCCCUAGGGACCCAGCAGGCCAAGGGUGGGGGUGGCACUGAAAUUUUACCCUUCACUCCAACAACUUGUUGACCCAUCUAUUUCUCCCCCUCCCCACCCCUGCCAAUGAGUUAGAGGAAGGAAAAAAUUGAGUUCUCAGUCUUAAAUCUCUUAAACUUCUUUCCCAGAGUCCUAGCUCCCCUAGCUCAAUGUUGCCCCUGUUCCUCUCUCCCAUUAUCACACACCCCAUUCCCCCAGACAUUCAGAGACAAGCUGGUCUGGCCCAACCUAGGACUACUCCUCAAUGGAACCUAACAGAGACCAGGUUCCUAAAGGUCUCCCCGAUCUGAGGGGGCCCCUUUGUGAUCACCCUAAGCUCAAGACCUGUUCUGGGGAUGAGGACGGAAGGAGGCAUAUACAGGAAGAAAGGGGAUGCACCUCGGCUGCAUCAGCCUUUUCCUUUUUCCCAAGGCCCCACUCUCGGCAUUCAGACUGA